rnacentral:rRNA from 1 species
CAUAUCAAUAAGCGGAGGAAAAGAAACUAACAAGGAUUCCCCUAGUAACUGCGAGUGAAGCGGGAAAAGCUCAAAUUUAAAAUCUGAUAGUCUUUGGCUGUCCGAGUUGUAAUCUAGAGAAGCAUUAUCCGCGUUGGACCGUGUACAAGUCUCCUGGAAUGGAGCGUCAUAGAGGGUGAGAAUCCCGUCUUUGACACGGACUGCCAAGGCUUUGUGAUGUGCUCUCAAAGAGUCGAGUUGUUUGGGAAUGCAGCUCAAAAUGGGUGGUAAAUUCCAUCUAAAGCUAAAUAUUGGCGAGAGACCGAUAGCGAACAAGUACCGUGAGGGAAAGAUGAAAAGAACUUUGGAAAGAGAGUUAAACAGUACGUGAAAUUGCUGAAAGGGAAACGCUUGAAGUCAGUCGCGUUGGCCAGGGAUCAACCUUGCUUUUGCUUGGUGUACUUUCUGGUUGACGGGUCAGCAUCAAUUUUGAUCAUUGGAAAAAGAUCAAGGGAAUGUGGCAUCUUCGGAUGUGUUAUAGCCCUUGGUUGUAUACAAUGGUUGGGAUUGAGGAACUCAGCACGCCGCAAGGCCGGGUUUUUUAACCACGUACGUGCUUAGGAUGCUGGCAUAAUGGCUUUAAUCGACCCGUCUUGAAACACGGACCAAGGAGUCUAACAUGCCUGCGAGUGUUUGGGUGGAAAACCCGAGCGCGUAAUGAAAGUGAAAGUUGAGAUCCCUGUCGUGGGGAGCAUCGACGCCUGGACCAGACCUUUUGUGACGGUUCCACGGUAGAGCAUGUAUGUUGGGACCCGAAAGAUGGUGAACUAUGCCUGAAUAGGGUGAAGCCAGAGGAAACUCUGGUGGAGGCUCGUAGCGAUUCUGACGUGCAAAUCGAUCGUCAAAUUUGGGUAUAGGGGCGAAAGACUAAUC